UGGGGAAUAUUGGACAAUGGGCGCAAGCCUGAUCCAGCCAUGCCGCGUGAGUGAUGAAGGCCUUAGGGUUGUAAAGCUCUUUCGGCGGGGACGAUAAUGACGGUACCCGCAGAAGAAGCCCCGGCUAACUUCGUGCCAGCAGCCGCGGUAAUACGAAGGGGGCUAGCGUUGCUCGGAAUCACUGGGCGUAAAGGGCGCGUAGGCGGACAUUUAAGUCGGGGGUGAAAGCCCAGGGCUCAACCCUGGAAUUGCCUCCGAUACUGGGUGUCUCGAGACCGGAAGAGGUGAGUGGAACUGCGAGUGUAGAGGUGAAAUUCGUAGAUAUUCGCAAGAACACCAGUGGCGAAGGCGGCUCACUGGUCCGGUUCUGACGCUGAGGCGCGAAAGCGUGGGGAGCAAACAGGAUUAGAUACCCUGGUAGUCCACGCCGUAAACGAUGGAUGCUAGCCGUUGGCAGGCUUGCCUGUCAGU
rnacentral:rRNA from 1 species